AACACUUUCGCUUUCGCGCACCCCGGCACCCUUAACCUUUUUUUCCUAGUUUUUAGUCAUUCUGUAGUCAAAAUUCGUAUAUAGUGGCCUGAAAACCCUUUAUGUUCAACGCACAUAAAGGGUUUAUAUUCUGGUCUGGUUUAGCUGGCUUAUAACGUUGUUGGCGUGGAGGCUGAACAACGUUAUGAGCCAGCUAAACCUGGCCGGAAACGAUAUUUUCAGUAGCAGUUCGCUUGCUUUUUUCGUAAUGCACUGAAGCAUGUAACCAUUACUAGAUUGACUAUUAGUGACCUUUGCUACAAUUUCAUUACGAUGCCUGUUGUUGAGCCAGGUUUAAAUUCCCAUGCUAGAUGUCGAUCCUAGCCUUUAAUGUGUUACCUGCCUACCGUACAAUAAACAAUAAACAAUAAGCAACGCAAAGCAAAGCAGAUCAACCGUCUUAAAAAUUUUGCCUGGAAAUACCAAUUUCCCGGAAGAUCACCGAGUACAUCAACGGACAUCAGCUGCUACCGGAAAAGUCAGUGAAACAUCUCGGAGUGAUACUGGAUGACAUCUCAGUUGGACUGACCAUGUCCAUAAAAGUCCAAUAGAGUUUUCGUCGCAUCUGAACUACUGCUAUACAGUGUGGAGCGGGGCAUCUGUGCGCUUGCGGGAUAAAUUGGCCGCGAUGCAUCGAAACGGUCUCCGAGCGGCUGCAAACUACGCAAAGAUACCCACGGAAUCGUUCAUGAAACAACAUGGGAUCUUGCCGCUCUUCACGAGAUGGAAACAAAAGGAAGCGAUAUGGUUAUACAAGAUCAAACAUCCGGAAAAAUUCCAUGUGUCGCAGUACAUCAGCGAGAUGGUGGAAUUUGACGACCGUAUCAAGCCGUACAACCUUCGGAAUAGAAACCGCAUCCAUAUAAAGGCGGAAGCGAAGAAGGAAGUUGGCGAGACGACCUUUGCUUGGAAGGUUAAUAAAUUGUGGACAUUUUUUGUUAAUUCUAAUUCCUCUGAUCUGUUCGAUAUUCGCACUAUUGGUGCUUUUAAGCAAGCUUUGAACCGUGUCAAUUUUGUUUGAGUCCUUUUCUGUCUAUCUGUACUCGUACUUUUAGAUUUUACUGUUUGGCCAGGUUCAAAAUCCCAUCUGGUAUGUCACCCUAGCCGGAAAUGGGCUACCUGCUCCACGAUGAAUAAUAAUAAUAGUACGGUUUUUA